CAGCUUGGGGAAAAUCGUUUAGUAUAUUACAAAAGCAAAAGCUCUUCAAUCAAUUAAAGUUUAAAUACAAUUAUUAUUUCAAUCUUUUGUAAAUGAUGUACACGUCUUUGCUCCCCACCUCUCCACUCCACUUCUCCACUCCACCAACUUCCCCACCACACUCAACUAUCAGCCACCACCCUUUUUCUCCACCAAACUUUCCACUUAUUUCCUUUCCCACCACACGCAAUAAUGCAAUACUCACUCUCAGCUCAUUCACAGAGUACCAAAGAACAAUCCCAGCUUGUUCCUGCCAAGUUCUCAAGGUAAGCUUGCCUUAAUGUUUCCACCUUUCUUCCAUUUGCAACCUGCAUUUAUUGAAAGAAACAAGUAUGAUUUAUUUCAGAGCUAUUCCAGUUCUUUUAACUCAACAUCACAGCAGCCAACCAAGCCCAAAACAUUCGCAAGGUAAUUCACAAUCUCAAAUAUCAUUUCCAGUAAACAUUCAUAUUAAAGCAUGGGCAUGAUCAGUUCAAUCAUAGAAGACCUUAUAGUAUCUUGAACUUAGUAAUUACGCCAACUACGCUUUUAUGAGCAAGUGACAAUUCAUAUGAAGUUUUAAACGACCAUAAUUUGAGAUGUAAGCAAAACAAGAAGAUUUCACCUUGCUUGUCUGAUUAAGAAUCGAUUAAAUGGAUUGAGAGGGAGUUACUUAGCUUUAAAGGAGGGAAGGGCCGGCUGCCCAAGGGGCAGCGAACCACCUACUGCCGAACGGGAAAAGAAGAUGGCGACGGCAAACACUUACUGCUCCAUUAAACUCCGGCAAUAGCAGCGGAUCGGCGGGCCUUCACCUGCCGCCGGGAGGAACGUAGCAGCAACGACGCAGACCGGUUUUGAGCAGCAGGAGUCGAUCGAUUAUUAAGGGAGAAAAUCAGUUUGAACUUCAGGGAAAGAGUUAGGGCUUUGCUUCCCUUUCAUGGUUGAGACGAGAGGAGAGGCGAGUACGACCAUCGCCGGCUGACUCGCCGGAUUCGAGACAAGGGCGUGACAGCAGCGGCGACUCGCCAGAAAUUCAGGGCGUCGGAGCUGGAUAAUCACUGAGGCCAACUGGAACCAUGGCCGAGAGAGAACGGCCGGCGUCGUGGCCCGGAGCAGCAAACGCUCGAACUGGGCGAUUUCCCCUUUUCUGAGAUCUAGGGCUCGACUGAUUUCUGCGCGGAGAGGCGAUUUCCGGCCAAGAAAAGAGGACGGCGCCGGGGCUUUAACGCGUCGACAGAUGACGACGACCGGAGCAGGCGGCUGGAUGGCCGGAGAAGAAGACGUCGAGCGAGCUGGGAAGGGCCGAUCGACUGGUUUUUGAAUCGAGAAGAAGAGCAGAGCGUGUUCUGCUUUGAGUUUGAGAGAGAGAAUGUCGGUUGUGAGAUUUGAGAAAGAGGGACCGAUAGUUUGAGGGAAAUGAGUUGGGCUAAAAUUUUG
rnacentral:lncRNA from 1 species